GACGACGGCUGGCGGCGUGCUUAAUACAUGCAAGUCGAGCGAGGUUACUGUUUGGAUCCCUUCGGGGUGAAGAAGCUUUAACCUAGCGGCGGACGGGUGAGUAACGCGUGGGUAACCUACCCCAAAGUCCGGGAUAACCAGCGGGAAACCGCUGCUAAUACCGGAUGCCUUUACCUUGGGGCAUCUUGAGGUAAAGAAAGGUAACGCUUUGGGAUGGGCCCGCGUCCCAUUAGCUAGUUGGUGAGGUAACGGCUCACCAAGGCGACGAUGGGUAGCCGGCCUGAGAGGGUGGACGGCCACACUGGGACUGAGACACGGCCCAGACUCCUACGGGAGGCAGCAGUAGGGAAUAUUGCGCAAUGGACGGAAGUCUGACCUAGCGACGCCGCGUGAGGGAAGAAGGCCUUCGGGUUGUAAACCUCUGUCAUGGGGGAAGAAGGAAGUGACGGUACCCCAAGAGGAAGCCCCUGCUAACUACGUG
rnacentral:rRNA from 1 species